CUCUGCGUGCGCCGGAGGCUGCCGUGGCGGGUGGGCCGCCUGACUUCUCCUCCCGGCCAGUUCUCGAGCGCCUCACCGGGCCUCGCCCUGCAGCCUCGCUCUCGCUGGCGCUGCGCGGCCUAGGGGACUGGGCUGCUGGCCUCCGGGUGCGGGGUGGGGGCAGGCUCCGACCUGGGGCGUCCUGGCCGCGCGAGCCGCGGGAUGGGGGCCCGGGCCGCGGAGGAGGCGCCGCUGGUGUGUCCCUUGGUGGAGAGGGCGCUGCCGGCCCUGCGCGGUUUCCAGCCAGGAAGCUUCGGGAAGCCUGGACGUCUGCUCACUGGAGAUGACACGUGCGUGGGGUGUUGGCAUUCUUGUUAUUUAACACGGGAAGGAGGUGACUUCGCCUGUGAUGGACUUCCAGUGUGAGCACUGGCCAGAGUGACCAGGCUGACCAGCACCAGCCCUGAUCCAGAUGCAGAGGCCAGGAUGUGGGCCCAGCCCUGUGCCAGGAGGCUGGCUGGAAUAAAGGGAUGGGCAGGCUGGCAUGGGGGCAGCCGCUGCCCCUGCCUGGGUGUUGCUGUGUAUUCCUGCCGGCCAGGGGCCACUGCCAGGACCACGCCUCCCUUUUCAUAUCCCGAUUCUUAAGUUCUGCUAUUGUGGUAUUCUGGUGGAGAAAAAAGAACCGCGUGGCUGUUUUUGAACUGCCUGGAACCUAAGACCCUGAAUUCUUUUCCCCCCCAAGGGGAAAAUCUAUAUGGAAAACAUUUAUUUUAAAAUACAGGAUGAAGUGAAUUAAAAGAUUUAAAUGCA
rnacentral:lncRNA from 1 species